rnacentral:rRNA from 1 species
UACGUAGGGGGCAAACGUUGUCCGGAUUUACUGGGUGUAAAGGGUGCUCAGGCGGUCUUGUAAGUUAGACGUGAAAUCCUAGGGCUCAACUCUGGAACUGCUUUUAAUACUGCAAGGCUUGAAUAUGGAAGAGGAGGGUGGAAUUUCUGGUGUAGCAGUGAAAUGCGUAGAUAUCAGAAAGAACACCAGUGGCGAAGGCGGCCCUCUGGUCCAUUAUUGACGCUAAAGCACGAAAGCGUGGGGAGCAAACAGG